GAUCCUGGCUCAGGAUGAACGCUGGCGGCGCGCCUAACACAUGCAAGUCGAACGGACGAUGAAAAGCUUGCUUUUCAAAGUUAGUGGCGGACGGGUGAGUAACGCGUGGGUAACCUGCCUCAUACAGGGGGAAUAGCAGCUGGAAACGGCUGAUAAAACCGCAUAAGCGCACAGUGCCGCAUGGGCACAGUGUGAAAAAACUCCGGUGGUAUGAGAUGGACCCGCGUCUGAUUAG
rnacentral:rRNA from 1 species